GUUCUUGUUUUGGCAGCACAUACACUAAAAUUGAAACAAUACAGAGAAGAUUAGCAUGGCCCCUGCGCUGAUAUAUUAGGGACAAUUCUUUUUUUUUU
ensembl:snRNA U6 U6 spliceosomal RNA